rnacentral:rRNA from 1 species
AUUGAACGCUGGCGGCAUGCCUUACACAUGCAAGUCGAACGGAAACAGGUCUUCGGUUGCUGACGAGUGGCGGACGGGGGCGUAAUACAACGGAACGUGCCAGCUCGCGGGGGAUAACGAAGCGAAAGCUUUGCCAAUACCGCAUACGAUCUACGGAUGAAAGCAGGGGACCGCAAGGGCUUGCGCGAACGGAGCGGUCGCUGGCAGAUUAGGUGGUUGGGGGGAUAAUAGCUUACCAAGCCGACGAUCUGUAGCUGGCCUGUGCGGACGACCCGCCACACUGGAACUGAGACAGGGCCCAGACUCCUACGGGAGGCAGCAGUGGGGAAUUUUGGACAAUGGGCGAAAGCCUGAUCCAGCCAUGCCGCGUGCAGGAUGAGGGCCUUCGGGUUGUAAACUGCUUUUGUACGGAACGAAAAGACUCUGGUUAAUACCUGGGGUCCAUGACGGUACCGUAAGAAUAAGCACCGGCUAACUACGU